UUUCCUCCCUGAGCCUGGUGAUGGACGAAGCACCACACAGUUUUAGAACUCAGUAUGAAAAAUUGCCGGAUAAAGCAGAAGAUAGCGAGGCAGGAGGAUCACGAGUUCCAGGACAUCCUGGACAACUUGGCAAGACGCUGUCUGAAAAUAAAAAAUGAAAAGAGGGCUGAGGAUGUAGCUCAGUGGCAGGAACCAUCUGUGCCAGUUCUAGCCAAUAACAUUUUGGGCAAAUUCCUUUCUUGAAUAUGGUGGACCAGAAGAAACAUUUUUGUCAUCUGUGCUGCCUCUCUUACUUCUUCCUGACUGAACGAUGGACUUGAGGCCUGGCAGUGAGGAAGCCAUCCUGUGAUCACAAGGCAUCAACCAGGAGAGCAAGCACUUCUGCAUACUAAGAGCAUGCAACAGAAGAGUGGGACAGCAUACCCCAGCCUUCUGUUUACACAAGAUCACCAUGCUGUGAGCCACCCUUUCCCGCCAUGAUGUUCUGUCUCACCUCAAGCCCCAAGGACUGGAGCCGACCUUCUAUGAACUAAGACUUCUGAAACCGUGAGCCCUCAAAUAAACCCUUUCUCUUCUACAAUUGUGUUGGUCGGGUCCUUUAGUCACAGCAGUGAAAAAGCUGACUA